UACGUAGGUGGCGAGCGUUGUCCGGAUUUACUGGGCGUAAAGGGCGUGCAGGCGGUUUGUUAAGUGCAGGGUGAAAGCUCCCGGCUCAACUGGGAGAGGUCCUUGCAUACUGGCGAACUCGAGGGAGGCAGAGGAAAGUGGAAUUCCCGGUGUAGUGGUGAUAUGCGUAGAUAUCGGGAGGAACACCUGUGGCGAAGGCGGCUCUCUGGACAGGUACUGACGCUGAGACGCGAAAGCGUGGGUAGCAAACAGG
rnacentral:rRNA from 1 species